UGAAUGGGAUUCCAGCAGGCUCCAGCUGGUCUCAUGGUACUGGCAGACAAUGCAAAACUUUACACAGACACAUCAGGACAAACCUCCUGGACUGAGGUGACAGCAGAAAGUAUAAACCCAUGCGGGAGAAGAUGGAAAGAACUGAAUGUCCUGUGGGAGCUCUUAUCAAGACCAGGAGUGAGCAGCCAAUAACCACUCAGCAAGUCACCUUCUAAGUUUAAAAAGCAGCCUG